rnacentral:lncRNA from 1 species
AAACUCCUAAGUGGCUUCACUUAUUUUUUAAAUUUUAAUUUAAUUUUUAAAUUUUUGCUUGGAAGCAGCACUGGUAAUAAAUGUUUUAUUUUUUGUUCAUUUUCCCUAAAGGAAAAAUGUCCUUAAGAGAUUAAAGCUCUUAAUUGAUUACUGUCUGGUUACAAACUGGCAAACUGACUAAAAUGGGAAGCUGCCACCGUGCCUGACUCAUGUAGCUGAUGACCGAAGGCUCAUCCUUUCUUUUCUAUUUGACAGACAUUUACUGAGCUUCAGACUUGAGCCAACCCUGAGCUGGACUGUGGAGAUAAAGCAGUUCCUGCUCUUGAGGAGCUCAAUGUCUAAUGGAAUGCAUUUGAAUGUAUGUGUGGCUGGAGAGUUCAUUUAUGGUCUUAGGAAAGCCAUUUCUGGUCCCAUUUAGAAAACUGACCAGCACCCAGCAAGCUGCAUUCUACAUUUUAGAGACCCCAUUGGUAUUUGUGAAUUUGAUUGCACCACCGCUUUUCCUUUACUAAGUAAUGUUAUGGAAGGAGAAUGAAUUUUCUCCUCUAGUGAUUACAGGACAUUAACAUCUCUUCAGAAGCUGCUUUUAGCUUAAGCCCCAAGAAGUGAGGUGGGUUGUGGAUCACUGACAUGGUCAGGGGAGGCCCACACCUCAAUUCAGUAACCACCUAAUCUCUCCCCCAACCUGAUCUCUCAUCAGAGCUGGCAGCAACUUGGGAUUCCUUUCCUUUUUCCUGCCUAACUUUUCAUUGAAAUGUCUAGUAGGAGAGUGAGAAAAGAGAACAAAGGCUGGGUCACAGUCAUAGAAUGUUACAGCUGGAAUGGGCAUGGAAAUCAUCCAAGUUAAACUUCUUCUCUGCCCCCCGCCCCCACUUUUUUUUUUUUUUUUUUUUAACCAAACGAACUUGUGAUCCAGUGCCCUAUUUUAUAGUGUGGUUUUCCAGGGUCUGAAUAAAUAAUCAUUAAAGUUUGACACACGCAGACACACGCACCAAUGAUGGGGAUACCCCCAAAUGAUUUAGGAGGUUAUUUUAUUUUAAUAGUUUUUUCUUCCUGAUUUUUUUCAGUUAGUUAGAGUUAAAUGUACCUAUAGCCCCUGAAUACAUGCUCAGGUAGAGAAAGUCUCCAUAGUAUAAGUAAGUAAUAUGAAUGUGGAAUCUUGGAAAGUGAUAUAUUUUGAUUGGAAUAAUUUUAAUUAAAUUUAAUGAUUUUAAUUAAGAAUUAAAAGCCAGCUAGCCAAAUUUUCUUUAAAAAUUGGAAACUCAUUAUGGUCUUAAAUUGUCCUCAGGCAGCCUUUUCCUCAUCAACCCAUAGAGUGGUCUUUUGAACUGGUAUCUAAACAUACCUGGUUAUGAAUUCUCAAAAGAGAAAGCAGGUCUGGGGCGGGGUGGUCAGGAGACAGAUUCUAGGGAAAGUGCUGAAGAGAUUUUCUUCUGAAGAUGAUCUAGGAAAUGCAUCUUUAUACAUGAUUGUUAGCUGCUGUAGCUUUCUGAAGAAGAUUGUAGAAAAGAGACUAAGAUAUAUGCAAGGGUCACCAGUUUAGAGAUCAGUCAAAUUGGAAAAAGUGCCAAGACUGGAUGUGCAGAUUGUUCUAUGUAUUAUCAGUAUUUUUUUCCUCUUAAGAAAAAAAUUUACUCUCUCUCCUUUGUGAGUAAAUGCCUCCUUAAUGCCUUUUAAGUAAGGUGGCAACUUUUAACUGUCAUCUUGUGAGAGGCAACCUCAAACUCUAAGCAGACUCCCUCUCUCCCUUUCUGGUGUCUUAAAUCAAGAACUAGUUUGAAGCCAAGGCAAAGCAAGGUUUGUUCAUCUUCCUUUCCUGUCAUUUAAGGUAAAACAGGCAAUGAACUCGCUCUUCAAAUACCAUAGUUCAAGAGUAGCUGUUGGCCCUGGUUCCAGAUUAAUAUAGCAGCAGGCAGAUUGCCCCUUCUUGGGGCCACCACCCUCCAAAGCUGUGCCACCAAUGAGAGCAUUGGGUUCAAGUUUGCAUCAAACAUGGUAUUACCAACGCUGAGCCUCCAGCAGAGCACUUAAAAGUCCUAGUGAGAGAAUAGAUACUAUGCAAGGGAAAAAAAUUUAAAUGCCAACGAAUAGUUUUUUUUUUUUUGAACCUGAUACACUGUUUGUUUACUCUCAACUCUUUGUACAAAUAUUAUUGUCCUAAGGGCCUUUUCCCCUCCUGCCUAGAAAAUAGGUUGUGUAUUGGUUUUAUUCAACCUGCUGUCUGCUUUAGGAUUGGAGAAGGUACCUGGAUCCUUGUGGACUGCCACUGCUGGCUGCCUCCUCUCCAACUCAUCAGAAGAGCAUUUUGACAAAGACAGAGGACUUGGACCAGGGCAUGCCCUGUUGGGGAUGUUUCUGUCAGCAAGGACAUGGCAUGGAAUCAAGUGGGCUGAUGUGUUGUUAUUUAAACAGUACCAAAGUGCAUUCUUCAAUGUAUGUUUGCCUGCUUGAAGCAAGGCCCAAGUUGAGAAUACAGUAAAGGAAACUCAUGAAAGUGGAUGUUCUGUUUAUAGUCAGAGUCUUGUCUCUGGUGAACAAUCUCAGACAAAAACAUGGGUUAAGCUUAGGCUGUGUGUGGAUUUUUGGUGCUGUAUGUGCUCUGGGAGAUGCCCCAUGUUGGAUGUCUUGCUUUGGCAUUCAGAAUGGCAGUAGAGAUUAGGAGCAGGGAUGGGGUUUCCAUGGUGUACAACUACGUCUUUUGGCAUAAGUUAUGUCCAGUUUACAGUUUGCUCCAAUUUACUGUCAUGUUCACAUUCAACCAUUCAUGCUCCUAAUGAAGGAACCAAGAAAGAGUCUGAGUAAAGAACGAAUAUACAGGAUGACACUGUCCCUGCACAUUAGGGCUGUACUCACAAGAUCUGGUUUUUAAAAAUACCCUUUUUUGGAGCCAUUGUUCAGGAAUUUGUUAAGAUCCCCUUGGUGUCAGUUUCUCAUACAACAGAGAACAAAUGUAUCCCUGUUGCAUCUGAACUGGAAAACCAUUUUUAGAGGGAAGUGUGACAAUGCUGCUGUGGCCUGGGUUCCAAGAAAGAAUGCAUGUGGCACCCAGUCUAUUGCCCUGUGCACCCACUCUUUAUUGCCGCUGGGCCAGGCACCAGGUCAUGCCUGGGCCAAGGAGGGGAGAUCCUGACAAGGGGAUGCCACCUUGUGGCCAGCAAGUGGGGCCCAGCUGAGCUCUGAGGCCUGUGGCCGGCUGGUCAACCUUGAGGUGCGGUCCAGGGCACAGAGCCCUCGGGGAGAGCUGGGGCACAGGCCGGGUGGUGCACACAGCCCCCAUGCACAGCUCUAGCCUUGUGAGUCACUGGCUGUGGGCUCCUGGCAGAACUCAUCCAUGAACUCGAGGAAGUGGCCGAACUUGGGCUGGCUCUCACUCAGCGCUGGGCAGGCCAUGGGGAGCGGGGUAGUCCCGAACACUGUGCGCAGAGAGCCACUCACCAGCUGCCGGUAACGUGCCUGGAACUCCUUCAACAGCCUCUUGGCCUCCAGGUACUGCUUGUGGUUCACCAGCCGCCGUUCUGUCCACUGGUGCAGGACAGCACCUGCAGGAAAAGAAGCCAGGAGAGGCACCAAGCUCAUCCUGGUUCUCACCUAGCCAGAAGCAAGAGGAUUGGGUCCAGAGACCCUUGGAAAAUGGGAUGGUGUGGCAGGAGGAUGCUAAGGGGCUAAAAAUGGCCUUUCCAGCUUGGGAAGUCACUGACUUCCUACUGCCCCUAUGCAUUGACUCUAUCUUAAGCCCUGGUUCAGGACCUUAACAUGCUGUGUGAUUUUAGGCAACUCCCUGCCUCACGCUGGCUCUCCUUUUGUCCAUCUACAUGUAGAGACUGAUGUAGGCAGUUGCUCUCUAAGGGCCUUUCCUGCACUGACACAAGCCCUUUCUUUGCCUUUAGCCAGCAGGCGUGAACUGGAUCUGGGAUCCUGGCAGCUGUGGCAGAGCCGUACCUAGUGGAGCCUCUGUAAUGUUCCGGGGAUCCCGCAAGCGAAUGAAGAUGUCAUCCAGAAGGUUUCUGAAGAGUGUCCAGCUUGGGCUUGGAGGAGUGGCACAGGAGUGGGUGCUUCAGCAUUUGUUGCAGGGCUUGUGCAUUCUUCUGGAUUCCUAGGGCAAGAAGGCAAGACUGAGUCAAGGCACUUCCCCCUCCUCCUCCCAGAUGCCUCCCCUGAUUGCUUCAUUCCUCAGUCUCACAGCAGCUCUAGGUAAAAGGAUUUGAGAGUCCCCAAAAGAAAACACUGCCCCCAGGUUUCUUCCGGAUCUGUUCCAGUGCCUGAAGUUCCAUCAUUCUUCAAGGGAAUACAGUGGUUUUGGGUGAUCCCAGAGGAAGCCCCAACCUAGCCAAGAAGCUCCCUUGGAGGAAUGCCUUAGCCUGAGCUAAGUCUUGAAGAGCCAGGAGAGCCAUCCCUACGGAGCAAUGGGGAGAGGUGUGGACUGCAAGUGAUGAGAAAGAAUGAUUGUUUCAGACAAGGAACAGCACGAGCAAAGGCGCAGAGUGCUCUUCCCAAAGCAAGGAAAGGAGAAGGCAAUGCUGAACCUAAUGGAGAGAUUCCAGGCACUGUGGAGUGAGCAGCUCUACAGCCAGAGAGCUAACAUCCCAGGACAAUCAUGCGGCCUGAAAUCUAAGGAAAUACUGGCACCUCCAAGGAGAGAUGGGACACAGACACUGGCCUGCCUGUGGCAGAAUGUGGCAGAUGCAAGUGCCACACAAGCACUUAAGAAGAAAUCAGGUAAAAAUUUUAGUGAAUUUAUAAAGACCAAGCGUGGCCUAGAGUAAACCCCUUUAAGCUGCAGACAUCCAGGGAGUUCACACUCACUAGUGUGAGAAAGA